GCCCCUGUGGCGGAAUUGGUAGACGCGGCAGACUCAAAAUCUGUUGUCUGUAAGGACGUGGGAGUUCGAGUCUCCCCGGGGGCACCA
rnacentral:tRNA from 1 species